UACGUAGGUGUCGAGCGUUAUCCGGAAUUACUGGGCGUAAAGGGCACGCAGGCGGCUGCUCAAGUCUGACGUGAAAACUCCCGGCUUAACCGGGAGAGGCCGUUGGAAACUGAGUGGCUUGAGGCAAGGAGAGGGAUGCGGAAUUCCAGGUGUAGUGGUGGAAUGCGUAGAUAUCUGGAAGAACACCAGUGGCGAAAGCGGCAUCCUGGCCUUGAACUGACGCUGAGGUGCGAAAGCGUGGGUAGCGAACGGG
rnacentral:rRNA from 1 species